GGGACACACUGGGGAUGGCAGUGACAAACUGGAGCUCGAUUUUCACUCUGCAGGAAGUAAAAGAAACACUUUUGAACGAUGCAGGAAACAAAAAAAAAAUCAGAAAUCGACGUGCUGCUGAGAGUGUGAGAGCUGAGCACCCCCCAGGCCCUCCAGGCACCCAGGCUGUGAAAAAUCCAUAUUUUAUGAGAUUUCACCUGGGGCUGCCUCGCUCUGCUCCCAUGAAAAUGAGAUUUCGUUGGAGAUUUCCUCGGGAAAAGGGAACCGAGGCCCCCCAACGGCUGCAAAAAGGACAAAGGAAGGGGAAAAAACGCUCCAAAAAAAUCAGGUGGGAUCAGGAGGGAUUUCCCCAUGGAAUCGGGAAUUUCCACGUGGAAUAGGCAGGAAUUUUCCUACAGGAUCAGGGGGAACUUCCUCAUGGGAUCAGGAAUUUCCUUUUGGAAUCAGGAGGAAUUUUCCCAUGGAAUUAGGAGGAAUUUUCCUGUGGAAUUAGGAGGAAAUUCCUCAU